UACGGAGGGUGCAAGCGUUAUCCGGAUUCACUGGGUUUAAAGGGUGCGUAGGUGGGCAGGUAAGUCAGUGGUGAAAUCUCCGGGCUUAACCCGGAAACUGCCGUUGAUACUAUCUGUCUUGAAUGUAGUGGAGGUGAGCGGAAUAUGUCAUGUAGCGGUGAAAUGCUUAGAUAUGACAUAGAACAUCGAUUGCGAAGGCAGCUCGCUACACUAUGAUUGACACUGAGGCACGAAAGCGUGGGGAGCAAACAGG
rnacentral:rRNA from 1 species